UCACUCCUUUUCCCCAGAGCUUGCAGUAAUGAGUGGACAGCUUCUCUGCAGAAAUUGUGGUCUGUCAGAAAAAACAAAGCAGAGGAAGUCUUCAGUGCCAGAAAUGCAGCAUCAGCAAGGACAGCAAAGCCCCAAGAACUAGCAGAAGGAAUUGCCUACAUCUUCCAUGGAUACCAUGAAGAAUCAAGAAACUCAACUCAAGAAACAUGAGAAAUUA